rnacentral:rRNA from 1 species
UACGUAGGGUCCGAGCGUUGUCCGGAAUUACUGGGCGUAAAGAGCUCGUAGGUGGUUUGUCGCGUUGUUCGUGAAAACUCACAGCUCAACUGUGGGCGUGCGGGCGAUACGGGCAGACUAGAGUACUGCAGGGGAGACUGGAAUUCCUGGUGUAGCGGUGGAAUGCGCAGAUAUCAGGAGGAACACCGGUGGCGAAGGCGGGUCUCUGGGCAGUAACUGACGCUGGAGGAGCGAAAGCGUCGGGGAGCGAACAGG